rnacentral:misc_RNA from 2 species
GCAAACAAAAAAACCACCGCUACCAGCGGUGGUUUGUUUGCCGGAUCAAGAGCUACCAACUCUUUUUCCGAAGGUAACUGGCUUCAGCAGAGCGCAGAUACCAAAUACUGUCCUUCUAGUGUAGCCGUAGUUAGGCCACCACUUCAAGAACUCUGUAGCACCGCCUACAUACCUCGCUCUGCUAAUCCUGUUACCAGUGGCUGCUGCCAGUGGCGAUAAGUCGUGUCUUACCGGGUUGGACUCAAGACGAUAGUUACCGGAUAAGGCGCAGCGGUCGGGCUGAACGGGGGGUUCGUGCACACAGCCCAGCUUGGAGCGAACGACCUACACCGAACUGAGAUACCUACAGCGUGAGCUAUGAGAAAGCGCCACGCUUCCCGAAGGGAGAAAGGCGGACAGGUAUCCGGUAAGCGGCAGGGUCGGAACAGGAGAGCGCACGAGGGAGCUUCCAGGGGGAAACGCCUGGUAUCUUUAUAGUCCUGUCGGGUUUCGCCACCUCUGACUUGAGCGUCGAUUUUUGUGAUGCUCGUCAGGGGGGCGGAGCCUAUGGAAA